GGCAAGGACCUAUUCCGCUUGACAUCUCCUAUAAUUAAAUAGUUUCUAGUAUAUAAUAAAUUCUCAGAGAGUAUUUGUAGUUGAGGGUAAUGAAAGACUUUGCCCCAAUCAGAUAGGAGGCUUCCAAACUAAUCACAGAAUUGUAUGCUACACUUAGUUAUAGGAACCUACUAUAUACUAUUUAAAGGAUCCAUUCCCAAAAAAACAGCAAAGCUUAAUAUAUGUCUUAAGCCACAUUUUUCUCCCCCGGAAAUGCAUUUUUUAUCUUCCACUGAAAUGUAUAAAAUUCUCUAAAGGAGGAGGGGUGAAAAAUAAGAAAUUAAUAAACAAGGGUUUUUUGAAUACUUAUGACAUCCUGAGUAUUGUGCUUGAGCUCACAGGAAUACUCAGAAUAAGGUAUUAUAUAUGCUUUCAAGGAACUCAUGGUCCAUUUGGGGAGGGACUAACCUGUAGAACCAUGGUAAAUGGUUCUGUAGGAGUAAAUGGUAUGGUUAAAGUGUAAGGUGACUAAGGACGCUUAGUGGGCAGGGAAAGUUUCUAAGGGAGUGGGAUGCUGAACCCUGGGUUCAGCACAGUGGGUAGGAUUUACAAGAGGAUCACAGAGGGAGACUAAGAGGGUGAGGCAGGAUCCCCUGAGCUGGCUGGCACCAACCAUAGCUCAUCACUUCAAAGAGAGAAAUGAUACAGGUCUGGGUUACUUGUGUCCAUGGGCUGUCUCUCUCACUUCUGGAUUUUCCUCAAACAACAGGCCCACUUCACUCCAGAGCAAGUCUUGACCACAGCAGGCACAUCUCAUGACCCAUUCUUUGUCCCUUCCAGCAGUGGUCUUUCUAUCCUUAAGGGUACUUCUGUACCCUGUGGGUUUCUUCUCUCCCAAGCUGCUGUGCUUGGCCAGUGUGUAUGACUAGAUUGUUGCUUUAAUUCCUGUGUAUGGUCUAACUAGUAUGCUGAGGCCCUAACUGCCUGGUCAAUCUUUGCCCUGGGAAUCAGGCUCUGUUGUCUGUAAUUCUAGUAGCUGGUAGGUACCUGCUCUAAACCAGAGGGUCCAUUAGGCAGCUCUUCAUGUAUCUCCUUGCACACCACUUCCUGGGACUCCGGCUGUGGGGCUAACCCCACCUUCUUGGGCUUGUUAGGACUGAUCCUUGCAAAGUCAAGUUUACCGUGACUCAGUGAGUCCUCAAUUAUUGUGUACAUAUAGGCCAGUCAUUGCACACACUGAUUUUGUCUUUCCCCCCAAACAAUUCAGGGAGGCAUAAAUUAUUAUCCCCUUAUAGAUGAUUGAAUUGUAUCCUCAAAAAGGUAUAUGUCCAAGUCCUUACCCCUGAUACCUAUGGAUGUGACCUUAUUUGGAAAUUAGGUCUUUGUAGAUGUGAUCAAAUUAAGAUGAUGCCAUACAAGAUUAGGGUGGGUCUUAGAUCCAACGGCUGAUGUCUUUAUAUAAUAAAGGAGAGGCACAUUCAGAUACAGAGACACAGAACACCAGACAUGGGGAAAAGUCCACGUGACAGUGGAGGCAGACACUGGAGCAGCAGAGCUAGAGGCUAAGGAACACCAAGGAUCAUGAACAGUAACCAGAAGCUGAAAAGAGGCAGAGAAGGAUUCUUCCUUGGAGCUCUGCUGACAGGUUGAUUUUGGACUUCUGGCCUCCAGAACUAUGACAGAACACAUUUCUGUUGUUUGCAGCCUCCCCGUUUGUGGUAUUGUGUCAUGGCAGCCCUAGGAGGCUAACAUGAGUGCUUUUGACAGAUAUGGAAAUAAAGGCUCUGAGAGAGUCCGUAACUUGCCCAAGGGCACACAGAUCCAAGUAGCCUAAAUGAAACAUAAGCCCACUUCCUGUUGUAAAGCCUGGGCUCUCUCCUGCAGACCCCAGCUGGGAGACAGUAGCCUCAUGUUUACACACACUGGCCCUCACUGCUAACGGCGCUAUUCUCCCACCUCUCCUUCUCCUAGAUGCUUUUGGGAACUCAGUUCCCAACAUGGGCACUAAGAUGGUAUUUUGAAAAACGUACAUAUGGAGAGUGCCUCACACAUAAAAUGUGUCAUUAUAUUAAAACAAAAAGAGAGUUAAAAAUCCGAGCCCAUGUAAGCAAAUGCACAUGUCUGAGGCUGUGGCUAGGCCAUGCCAGCUGUUUGAAUCGCAGAAGUGGUAAAUGUUCUUUGAGCCAGUGUUCUCUACUAUAAAAAUAGCUUUGGGGCACCUGGGUGGCUCAGUCAGUUAAGCAUCCCCGACUUUAGUUCAGGUCACAAUCUCAUGGUUUGUGAGUUGGAGCCCAAUACUGGUCUCUCCGCUCUCAGCCUAGAGCCCGCUUCAGAUGCUCUGUCUCCUUCUCUCUCUGACCCUCCCCCAUUCUCUCUCUCUCUCAAAAAUAAAUAAACAUUUUUAAAAAAAUAAUAAAAAAAAAGCUUUAAUCUGGAGAGUGUUGAACCUUGUUUGUGGAAGUUCAUAACUGAUUCAGUUUGUAACAGUGAAGGCAAUUUUUUAAAAAAUUCUUUCUCCUUUCUUGGUGCCUCUGGGACUUAGUUCAACACAACAGAAAUCAGGUCAAAGUUUGAUCUCUGAGGUAAAAGUUGACGCUGUAGCUGCUCUGGACAGGCGCCAAGUUUUUGCUGUAACUCCCGGGGUCCCUGGGGUAUAUCCAUUUAGGUCUUGGUGGGGCUCCUCCAGUAAGAGUCAGGUUGCCACCCCAGCUGCUGUGAUUGCUGCUGGCCUGACUUUCUCACAGAAAGGACAGACGCUCCUUGCCUGGCCGACUAAUACACACUUGUGCCAAGUGUCAGAGAAAUGGCAGCUGCGGUCUCUGAUUCCAAGGAUUUAGGAUCUCAGCAAGGAGUCAGGACUCAUUUCCUCAGUACAAGUGAGGCAGCCAAGCUUCAGGCCUGGAGAGGCUAGAGGGUUUCAGGGAAGGUGUGUCCCUGUGGCUUGUAGUGGACAAGGGAGUCUUCAUGAAGAUGAAGGUGGGGCCAUGCCCCCCAAGGGGAGGAUGGAAGUUUAGGAAGGCAGAGGAGAAAGGAGGGAACAGAUUCUCCACCCAGUGGUCCAGGGUCUGGGGAUGCUGAAGAAACCAGGUAGCGGGGAGACAUGGUUGAGAGGUAGUGAAGACCAGCAUGCCUACUGACUUUGCAAGUCACAUGGAGGGGUAAUUUCGAGACGGGUAGCUACUUCUUCCCAGUUGCUUAAUGAGGGGCUCUGGGCCAACUUUGGGGAUGGAGGUGGUAAAGGAUCUGGGGAUAUGGAAUGAGUCCUUAACAUAGACAAUGGCCAAGAUUUUGUUGAGGCUCUGGGGAAGGCUCUGGUAGGUGCAUUUUGUUUUGUGUUUUACUUGCCCUCACGGAAUUAUUCUUAUUUACUUGCUUUGUUUUGCUAUGUUACAUUCUUAAGUACGCCAGUUACUAGGGCUGGAAGGUGCAGUUGAAAGUGGGGAAGCAGGUCUCUUGUGGGGAGGUGAGUGUGGAGCGGGUCCCUUGUGAGGAGGUUGGUUCAUGGUAGUUUCUGGUGUUCAGCCAUCCCAUUUAUUUGGGGAGAAGUUAGUGUGUGUGUGUGUGUGUGUGUGUGUGUGUGUGUGUAUGUGUGUGUAGGUGUUGUCCUAAGCAGACACACUCACUAACCUUAUGCUUAUGUCUUCUAUGUCUGUACAAAAUCAGGAAUAAAAUGAAGCACCAGGAUUAUUAUCCAGCUUAAGCCCCAUGGCAGAAAAUUAAGAAAGGCUUCCAAAUUUUUGAUAUUGCUAAAACUCACCCCUGCAACUGGUAGGCUGGCCGCCUUUCCUCUGACUCAGCCUUGCUCCCCACUGCCCUUUCCCUGGAUUGAUUGAAGCCAUGUGAGAAAUGAACCCGUGCAACUUAGCCACUGAGAAACUACACAGAAGCAAAAGGGCACCAGGAGAUGCUUGUUUCCUGAAGCUGGCAAAGUUCUUGUGCUUCUCUGGACAAUGACAGUAAUCAUAAGCAACCGGGGCUCCAGAAUGAAGAAGAGGGGUAACGGCUUAAGAGGCAAUGGAAGCAUGCUACAGAAGUGCUGUCAAGGGCGUUAUUAGCACCGGGCUGACUGUGCUUGCUGAAUGAGGCUGGACAACGCUAAAUUGUGCACAGAGUUCAUCGAUUAGCACAGAGAAAUCCCAACAAAAAGCUGGAUGUGGAUGUGGAUCUUGCCAUGGUUGUGUUCACAUGAAGUAUUAAAGUGUUGAAAUUUCCCUCUACACCGAAGAAGCAAUGGGGGAGACUGCUGAAAAUCCAACCUGUUUCCUUAGAUGGCGACUCAAUCUUUACUCUUCCUCUUCCCAGUCCAUCUCAUACAUGGAUUCCAGAAGCUCUUCCAGGAACAGCUACUUUUAUUACAUUACCGCUCAACUUGCAAGUCCCAACAAAUGUGAGCUCAGGUGUAAACAUCCCAUCCUGGUAAUGAUGUUCCAGUCCGAUUGGGUGGGAAGGGCACUGGGCUUUGGGUCAGACACACUGACUUUGCAUCACAGCCUACCAUGUUCCCCGGGUUGGGACCCUGAAUAAGCUGUCACCUGUGGAAAUCUCUCUGUCCUUAUUUGAUAAAAGGGUAAUGAAGACCGAAUCCCUAAAUCACAGAGCCCUUCUACCUGAAACAGCUCCCGGUGUCUGCAGAGUGAAAGAGAAUCAGCACGAUCAGACUGAGCUUCUUGAAAGCAGGAAUUGAAGAUCAUAUUUUCUGUUCUUUCACAGAACCUCACGAUGUACUGUGCAAGGAAUUCAUGUUCAGUGAACCUUACUGAUUGGAUACAUACUCCCUCAACCUCUAAUAUUUCUUACCUAAUGCUGAGCAGUGUUUGCGCCACACCUGUCAGAAUGGUCCUGAUGCUGAGGUGGUCCUGAAUCCAGAGGGAGAAUUGCUGUGAGGAUCUCUCCAAAGGGCCAGGACACCACCAGCAGAUCUGGGAAAGGGCCGAGUGUGCCCCAAAGGGCAUGGGUAGUGUGUCUGGGGAGGAGGAUGGCAAGGGAAAGUGCUGAGGACAGGGGCUCAUGGGGGUGGGGGAGGAGGUUGGGGGCUCUGAAUACCUUGUGAAAUAAAGAAAAAGGAGGUGGAUCUUUGGAAAACUUCUGAAGAUCUCCAGGAAUGCAGAGGGACAUCCAAAUAGCUUCCAAGAGCAAGUGAAAACAGCACUAAAUAUGGGAUAAGACAGCUUCGGUGCCUGUCCUGAUCCUUUCUGAGAGAGGGUAUUCAUAGCACUGCCCCAAAGGUCCUGUCCACUGUUUCCUGGUUUCUGUUGGAGUGUCUGAGGGGGCCAGUGUAUCCCCCAGAGAUGCAGAGAGAUGGAUGGGGUUGAGGAUGGGGAGUGGCUGGUUACAUAGAACCUGCCUGUGAGAGAGAAGAUUCCAGACCUGCUCAGAGCUUCUCAGAACAACAGCUCUGUCCUUGUACAAAAAUUAUUUUUGAGCAGAAAAGCCUUUGGCAAGUGCCAGUCUCUAGUUCAAGUUCUGUCAGAAGGAAGGUUUAAGGCUUUAGUCAGGAUGUACUAAAUUUCAGACAAGUAGCACGGGUUCCGGACUGGAUCACAGUAGAAUCCUUGACCAAACUGCCACCACCUGCCACACAGGGAUUCUGGAAGGUUUCAAAUUUUUGAUUCCUUAAAAAAGAAGCAUGGCCCCAAGGGGAGCACAGAGCAUAAGCCAUUUGCCAGCAAACUUGUGGAGAACAAGUGUGGGGUCCAAGUUGUUCACUGCAGAUUCCACUGAUGGGGGCACAAGAGGGACCAAAUGCUCUCCCCAGCAUCUUGGGGUGCUCGGCCCCCCUUGUGAGUCUACCCCUGUGGGGUCCCUCCGUUAACACCCUCCCAGAUCUAGAGUGUGACUUUAAACAGCCAGGCUCCUCUGCAUAGCUUCCAACCAGGGAUCCUUCUCAAGGAUCUCAAAAUCUCAAGAGGUUUUGAGCCUCUUGAGCUUAGCAAGAGUUUUAUUCUCAGUAGGACACCACAUUUACCCCUCAGCCUCCACAUUCGCAUCCACGUCUAGAAGGAAAUUAUUUCUUAGGCCAGAGGGAGGGUAAACACUGAAAAAACUGACACAUCUUCCAUAAUUCCAUAAAAUAACACCAGCUAAAUGUGGCAUGUUAACCUGAUAUUCGAGUGCAAGGGUCUAAUCCUUCCAGUGGCUCUGGAAAUACGUCUGUUCUGUGCACAUCAGCAUGAUGUUUCUCUGAAGGAAGACUGGCCAGGGGGAGAGGAUAAUGUUAUUCCAACUAGGUGGGGCAAUGUGCACUUGGCAGUAGGUUAAUUUUGUCUUCUCCUCAUGACCCGCAUUGUGUUAGAAGGACAAAGAAUCCCUGACUCUUUUCUUCCUAACCCCAGCCUGCCUCCUGCAGUUUUGUGUCUUCUUCAGGAAAAAUGGCUGUGUUUCUGCAGACAAGUGAUCUGGGUGUAUGUGGAGAACUGCUCCAUGUCACAUGUGAGAGUUUUUCUUUAACCUACCAACAAGGUUUUGAGUGAAGUGAUAUCCUCCCCAUUCUACAGAUUAGGAGCUGAAGGCUCCUAAUAAACCACUCUGAUGUGGUUUAUCUGUGUGCCCGAGACUGCCAGGCUAGGGGACCACAGGCCACGUCUGUGAACCACAAUGCUCCCCUCCACCCUGUGAGACUGCGGCUCUGAAGCAGUCCCUUGAGAGUAAAAUACCUCUGCACCAUGGUUCGUACGUGAAGAAAGGAGGGUGGUACUUUCAUGUCACCUUUGCAGGCCAAUAAAGCUACUUAGAUGGUUAAGUCAAGAGGAAAAACAGGGAAGAACAAUCAAAGCAAUCCAAGGAAUGAGUGGCAGGGAGUCAGAGAAUCUACUUCUGGGCACACGGUAGAUGCUCUGCAAACAUAUGUCAAUUGGACGGAUGAGAUUCUAAAGCAAAAUGACCCAAGUCUAAUUAGCUGAUGAGUGGGAUUAGACAGAAGAGAGACUUUCCAGAAUACCCAAUUUAGGCACACUUUUGGAGGAAUUACAAAUUAAGGAAGUACUGCUCUUUCAUAGGUAGUAAAUUUAGAGAGCUCAAGAGUCAGCAUGGAUUCAAAACACCAAUCUCUGCAGAGAAAAAAAAAGACAUUUGAGCAUAAUGAAUCCAUAAAAAACAGCCAGGGGCAACAUCUCCUGCCUUGGAGGCCAAGGUCAAGUAGAAGAACCAGAUCAUCCCCAAAAUACCCCUGGGCUGAGUGAGCAGUGCGCUAAAUCUUGUGUUCUCAAUCCACUGUUAACUUCAGAAAGUUUUUAUCUCCUCCCUCCUUAGCUCUUUGGCACAUUCUUGCUCUGUGUUUUGGUUUCAGGGAGUUAGCAGUUUGAUAAACUAUAGGAAAUCUGCAUGAAUUUUGCAUCCAAUUUAUAGAGCUCUGACUCUAACAGGGCCUAAGUAAUCCAUGAUGAGGCUGCUAAAUUGGCCAUGUAAUCCAUUUGGGAAUGACGAGUCCUGGCUUUUGAAAGUGUCUAUGUGUCUGUGUGUAUUUUCCUUUUCAGUGUUUCUGUGCUUGUACUGGGAGAAGGGAUGGGGGUCAUGAUUUUGAUGCCUUGCUCUCUUGUGUCCAAGAUGUUAGCUUUCUUCCCAGUAUAGUCCAUCAAGAGAGAAGGACUUUUUUCUGGGGCCUGGCAACCACUGUUUCUUGCAGGUUUCUCCAGCUUCUGGCUCUUUGCCUAGGACCUUGGGUCUGGCCCCAAAGGCAGGGCAGGACUUGUCAGUGACACCAGGCCCUGAAUCUGACCCCACACCCUGCUGGGAAGAAUUGCAACCUUUCCCUGACUGCUCCACAGAUGUUGGGAUUGACUAGAAGUCUGUGGUGAGGACUGGGGGCCCACUGGGAGCAUGCCUGCUCUCUCCCACUCUAUGAGGCAACUCUGAUUAAUUUCCUCAUGCAGCUCUGCAGCAAAAGCUGGCAGGUUGUGGGGUAGACUCUUUCCCCAUUUGGCGUGCAGGUUCUUUUUGCCUUUUCAAGGGAUCUGGACUAAUUUCCUGGGCUUCCUGCUUUUGCUGAGGCCGAGGGAAGGAUUUGAAGCUGAUCACUGACACACAUAUACCACCAUAGUCCUCUGCCUCCAGACAUGGCCUCCCCACGCAUGUCUUUCAGCUCAUCUUCAAGGCCCCAUUCAGCAUUCUCUGUUCAACCAACCAGGAGAGGAUUCUCCUUUCCCUCCAAAGUUCCAUAGCACAUACUGCCUUUGACAUUCAUUUGACACAUGUUAUAUCUUGGCAGUCAGGAGCCCAAUGGUAAACAGGUGGCACGUUGAAAUAGGGUAAUUUGAGGGAUAUUUAAUACAGGGUCUCUUACAAAGGUGUGGGAAUAAAGUAGGGAAGGGAUGAGAGAUAACGUAGAACCCCAGAACUGGCAUCAGGGGAUGCCUUAACCAUCCUGAAGCUUGAAGGAACAAGGGCAGGAAACAGUAUCAGAACCAGCUUGUGGGAAGCUGGUAGAGGGAGGCAGCCAGUCGGUGGUGACCCCACAGGGAGGGAGAUAAGAGAGUAAAUUUCCUGAUCUUACUUUUUCCCCCUGUGUCUGCCAUUGGUGAACCCAACAGGAAGUCAGAGGAUGGGAGCUUGCUGUUGUGGUUCAUAUAGUUCAUUCUCCAGGGGCUUAGAGCAGGGUGGAGAUGAGUGGAAACUGGAUCUAAAGGCAAAAGCAGAAGAUAUCCAAAAUCGUGUGUGCAUGAAACCAUGUGCACUGCAUUUUAGGGGAGACCUCAGAGAUUUUUGGAGACCUGUCUUACACAGCGUGAUUGGCUUCUCUGUACUGCCCCAUAUUGUCAAAGGUCUUGUUUUGUGCAUUUAGCUCAACUCCUCCCCAGCGAUGACACUAAGUUCUGAUUGGCUCUGUUGGUUGAAACACAAGCAAUUUGAGGACUGAAAGAGUCCUGGGUUGUUUUAGACUGAAAGCUUCUUCUCUCACAACCUGAGCUUGCUCAAAAGCAAGUCCCUAACUGUGACCCUGAGCAGCUGUCAGGUUUGUGGGUCUCAGUUUCCUUGAUGCUAAAAUAAAAAGAUUUGUUUAGAUUAGGGGUUAGCAAAUUAUGGCCUGGGGCCAAAUCCAACCCCCCCACUACCCUGUUUUUGUAAAUAGAGUUUCCUUGGAACACAGCCACACUCAAUUUUUUGAUAUAUUGUCUACAGCUGCUUUCCAAUGACAGCAGCAAAACCGAGAAGUCCCGCUAGAGACCGUACUGCCCACAAAACCAAAACAUUUACUAUCUGGCCUUUUACAGGAAAUACUUGCCAACCUCUGGUGAGAUGAUUGCAAAGGUCCUUCCCUGUUGCAGGGACCUGAGAUCAGGCAUUAUGCCUUACACAGCUUUGCAUUUCAUGGCCUACACAGUGCUAGGGAGAGAGUCUGUGAAUGCCCCUCCAUCUACCUUAGAGAUAAAGAGGCUGCCUGCAGCCCGGACCUUCCCCCUAUCCAUGUUCUGCUCGUGGUGCUGUGUCUGAAGAAACACAGCUAGCAGCCUGGCUGGCAGGUUGGACAUGCUGCUCAGUCAUCAGCCCCCUGAGCAAGUAUGUUUGAGGAGGGGUGGGAGCUGGGAGUAAUUAACCCAGCUACCUGGCUUCCAGUGGGUCCAAUCUAGGGUGUUCCAGUGAGAUGAGAAACUGCCCCACCUUCAUGGGCUUUCUUCCUAUCACUGUCUCACCUCCCCAUGCCCUCCCAGUUUCCUCAUGUCCCUUCCAUUCCAUCCCUUCUGGAAUCAACUACUUGCACUUAAAUCCUUGUCUCAGAGGCUGGUUUGGGGGAAAACUCAAACGAAGACAUGCUAUGUGGUUAACACACAACAUGUUGUCCUUGCCAGCAGUCUUGAGCGUUGCAUUACUUAUCAUAUUCUGGACAGCAAACGAGAUUGUUGGAAGUUUCAGCUAAUGUUAAAAUAAAAAAAUUUACAACUGAGAGAGUGGCAUAUGGUUCUAGGAGACAAGGCUGCACUCUGUGAACUUGGAAAGCUUGUGGACCUUAGUUCCUGUAUCUUUAAAAUGAGAGGGUCAGAUUGCACCAAUUGUUUAAUUGUUCCAAGAUGCUAUGAAAUUGGAUCAAAAGUUGUCUUGCUAAUCUUAUGGCAGUAAAUAAAAGUAGAUAUAGUCACAAUCUUAAUUGCCAAGGUGUUUUGUGAUAACAGAUUGUUUUUUUUUUUUUUUUUUUGGCUUUUCCUAAUAGGAUGGAGGAGGGUAGGGAAGUAGCUGAUAGGAAAGACAAAAACUCAGAAUUAACUAGUAACCUUUACCUCUUUCUCGGGCAAAUCCUUUGUGCCACCGUUAUCACCCAUCCCUGAAUUCAUCUCUCCAUCCUUAUGAGUAGCCACUUUAAAAAAUUAUGGUUAGUAUAUAGCUAAAAAUAAUGGGUCCAAUCCUACUGGUUUGGCUUGUGAAAACAGGAAAAUUUAGGGAAGUCUGCCCAAAAAGACUUAAAAAAACUUCUUGGUAAUCUGGGACAUGACUUCCCUUUUUAUAAAUUGUACCCUUUACCCCAAAACUCAAAGAUUUGAAGGAAACUGGUUCAUUUAGUAGUAAAAAUGAUCAAAUGUAAAUAUUUAUUAAGCACUUGCUAUGUGGCAGACGUUGUGCUAAGAACAAGGAAUAUCAUGGUAAGAAAAAGGCAAUUACUCGGCAGAGGGGACACUCACAGAGUGAAUAAUCUCUCAGAUCAAUGUAACAUUGCAACCCCGUGAUAGACGCUGUGAAGAAAAAGUACAGGUAGGUAUGAAACAUGUGGUGGGAGCCUGAAAUCGCUUGGGUAAGUGGGUGGUGCUGGGGGUAAGUUGGUGGAAGAGAGUUAGGUGUGCACGAACCCAAGAACAGAAAGUCGAGCAAGGGAACUAAAACCCAGGCCACCCAGGCACAGAGGUCAAGGAAAAGAGCUCAGGAGACUGAGCUGGAGAGGGUGAGGCACAGAAAAUAUCACCAUGAGUCAGUAAACAUUUAUCAGACUCUUACUGUGGUGGGCAUUUGACCACACUCUGCAGCUACAGCACUAAGUGAGGUGAGCUGUUGUCCUGCAGAAGCUUAAAUUCUAGCAAAAAAGGCAGACCACGAACAGGCAAAUGAACAAAUGUAUGAUAUAAUUCAGGCAGAGGUAAGUGCUCUGAAGAAACAGAAAACGAAGGAAUGGCAAAAGGGAGCCUGGGGUGAGGUGGGUGCGGGGAAUAUUUCAGACAGUGAACUUGGGACCAUCGAGUGGAGACCACAGGGAAGACCUGACUUCUGUGGAGCCUUGUGAUUCUAUGAAGGAUCUGGACAUCCCCCAAGAGCAGUGCUGGCCUCUCUAUCUGCUUUUUAAGCCAAGAGGAGCAAAGAGCAAGAAUCCCUUACUCAUUCUGGCCAACAGAAAAUAUUGGGGGAGAGCAUGAUCAUAAAUCUUUUGAUUUUGAGCAUUUUUAUGCAUUUAUUUUCAGUCCUAGAAAAUGUAGAACCUUUGUGAGAGGGGAAAAUCCCAAAGAGCAGGUUAUGGAUCCAAAUUUGAGGGAGACAGAUAGAGAGAUUGGGAAAGAGAGAGAGAGAGCGAAAGGGAGAAGGGUUUCUGCGCUUUGGCUUUGGACUGGCUUGGAGGGAGAGGUGGACUAAAGCUGUUCUCGAGCUGGGGCUGAACAGACAAUCAAUGGGGAGAUGAAGUGGGUGUGGCUGAGGCGCCUGACAAGCUGGGCUACUUGUCCGCCUGAGAGAUUUUCACAAGUAAAAUGUUGUCGACACUAGAGGAAGAGAGGAUUCACAUAUGCCUUAAUUUGAGUCUGUUUGCUACCAACUUGAUGUUAUGUGGUGAUGUCUGUAUCCCUCUCCCAGCCUCCAGCCUGCAGUCUGCAAUUAUCAAGUAUGAGACUGGGCAGUUUGGACCACUUUUGUCUACACAAGCUCCUUUCUCUACAACCUGGCUUUUGGAAAAGCAUCCCUUGGGUGUUGGGAGAGAACGUCUGACCCUGGCAGCUCUCCUGAAGAUUCCUGUAGAGUUUAGUUAGGUUAAAGGGUGCAUUUGUAAGAGCCGAGAGGCUCUAUGGGUUGUGUACAACCCCAAGAGGAUGUAACAAGGGAUGCACACAGAGACCCACGGCCAAGGUCACAGGCAACAGAAGAAAGGUCUCUGAUGGCUGUUGUGGCCACAGUUGCAGUGAUUUGAAAUCGAGAUCAUUCAGUAUCAUCCAAUCUGUAGGCCUUCAGGAGGAAAGGUCAACUGGUAAAAAAUAAAUGUUUUGGCUAAAUACUUUUUUUUCUCAUCUAUUUGCUGAGAAUUUGAUAGAAAGGCUUAGUAAUCAAAGUGAGUUUAGAGAAAAAUGUUAAAGAUUUGGAAGAAUGUGUCUUCUGGGGCAGAGUGUCCUCUGGGUGCUGUCUCCCCUUUGUCUACCAUGACCUUCAUCAGGGAAUACUUAGUAAGUCUUUGACUCCUCUGCCUAAAUCAGAAAGGUGGGGGGAUGUGGGGGGACAGAUGGAGAUAAAGGGAGCCUAUGGAUUUGGGGGAAUCUGGAACAUUCUUUAAAGGCAGUAUUUCAAUGAUAAAGCUGGGCUUCUCAUGCUUCCCCGAACCUCCCUAGCUGAGAGCCACUGGAGGGCUCUGCUAAGCCCCUGCAUACCUGCUCCAUCACCCUCAGGGCAAAGAGGGACUGUGUCCUCAUGUGCCAGGCAAUUAAUGCAGCCUGUGCUGAUGUGUGUGGAGGACAGCUCCAGCCCCAGAUGGCAGAAGGACACAACUUAGAACAGGGGUGCCACCCCAGACAUUCUCAGAGUGCUGAGACUCCCUGCAGAGAGCAGCUGGAAGCUAGAAUCCUGUCCACGCAGGGUGGCGCGGCCCGUGGGCAGAGGGGCAGUGUCAGUGUGGGAAACCUCCCCUUUCAGCUGCCACAGUCCUGGAUGACCCGUGGAACCGUGGUGCCAUCUGAUGGCCAAGACAGGGAAUGAGCUCAGGACGUGUGGAGGGACAGACCCUGAGGAUCAGUGUGGCCCCAGCUCCGGGUGGGGUUUGACCUCUAAGCCACCACAGCGCUGACCAAAGCUGUCGGCUGCAGGGCUGAGGCCCACAGGCUACAGCGUGGGGCAAAUUUGG